CUAUUGUCCAGUCAUUAGGCCAAUGAUGUGAACUUCUCCUUCAUUCUUCUUCUACAUUCCACUCCCCUUAUUUCUCCUGUUCUUUUACCUCCAAAAUGGAUCCAUAUUUAAUUACCAAAAUGAGAACUUAAUCGAACUUCACCGAAGAUUAACAUUCGAGAGAGAGAGCGAGAGAGGGGGAGGGGGAUGUCGGGAGAGGGAUCUUCUAGAUCGCUGGGCGACCACCAGCAACCACCGACCCCAAGCCGAUACGAGUCACAGAAGAGACGGGACUGGAACACUUUCGGGCAGUACCUGAGGAACCAGAGGCCGCCGGUUCCGCUCUCCCAGUGCAACUGCAACCACGUCCUGGAAUUCCUCCGGUACCUUGACCAAUUCGGGAAGACCAAGGUUCACCUCCAGGGGUGCAUGUUCUACGGGCAGCCGGAGCCGCCCGCUCCUUGCACUUGCCCGCUCAGGCAGGCUUGGGGGAGCCUGGACGCGCUGAUCGGGCGGCUCAGGGCAGCCUACGAGGAGAACGGUGGGACCCCAGAGACGAACCCUUUCGCGAGUGGGGCGAUCCGGGUUUACCUCAAGGAGGUGAGGGAGUGCCAAGCCAAGGCGAGGGGGAUCCCUUACAAGAAGAAGAAGAAGAAGGAUCAACAAGGUGGCAAAGGAUCAUCAUCAAGUGACCAGUCAUCGAGUCCUCCAAUUCACUUCUCUUAAUCAUGGUUUGGAGUCAAACGGUUAUAGCGGAUUAUUCGAUCAUCGAUCUAGAUAGAGGAUGAUCACCGCUGUUGAAUUAAGUUGGGAUCAAACGGGAGGAAUUUAACAGUACAAAACCUUGGAAGCAUAUGUAGCUAUAGCUCUUGAGUGGGGGAAUCGAUGCUCGAUCGCUCUGCAGGUUGAUUGGCUUCUUCACUUUUUCAGGCAUUGGGGCUGAUCGCUUAGAGCCCUCCAUCCAUUCAGCAUAUAUACUUCGAGAUCAAAGUAACUCAUCUGCAUGAUGAAGGCAUGCGUACAUUGCUGCGAUAUAUAUUAGAGAUCUGUUAAGGGGUUUAUGCAGCAUUUUUAGUUUCCGUGAGAUUUCUUCCUCCUUAAUUUCUUCUGUUCCUUUUUCCUUUCUUUUUUUUUUUUGGGGUAAUCUUCCUUUUUCUUUAUUGAUUUUUGGGGUUUUCUUCUGUUCAUCUCUCUGAUUAUUUUUGUCUAUGAUGUGAAUUUUUUUUUUGUAAAAUGAACGGAAAUGAUGAUAUAUAUAUAUAUAAAUAAAAAUUACAUAUC